UACCAGCACCUCGAGUGAUCAGGACGUUUAUUGGGCCUAAAGCAUCCGUAGCUGGCUUUGCAAGUCUCCGGUUAAAUCAACCUGCUUAACAGAUUGGCCGCUGGAGAUACUACAAAGCUAGGGAGUGGGAGAGGUAGACGGUAUUCGGGGGGUAGGGGUAAAAUCCUCUGAUCCUCUGAGGACCACCAGUGGCGAAGGCGGUCUACCAGAACACGUUCGACAGUGAGGGAUGAAAGCUGGGGGAGCAAAC
rnacentral:rRNA from 1 species